CCGGUUUUACAGGUGAGGUGCCCAAGGCUCAGAAAGCCUAGGAAACUUGCCUAAAAUUGAAAAACUAAAGUAAAAGAACUUGGAUCCAGGAUUGAUGGAUUUUUAAAGCAUCAUCUCUUAACCACCGUGCUGUGGGGCAACAUGUUUAUUAUGUGUCGGAGGCACUGGAAUUCUGAGGAGGAACAGGAAGGACAGGUUCUUGACUUCAGAAAGCUUGAGUUCAACCACUCACCAGCACACACAGAGUUACUGUCACUUGUAUGCUCCAAGACUCCUACAACCAAGGGGUCCAUGUCCCAUCUUUACCCGUCACACUACUCUCAGAACUCCUGCCCUUGAUUCCCAGUGUGAACAUCGUGUGUACCAUAAAGACUGCGGUCUUUUCCAGUAGAACUUCGGAUGCUUGAAUUUUACAGGCAACAAUGUGAGCAAUUCGACCACGGAUGCAUGACGCUAUAGUUACUAAGCUCCUGAACUAGCCACUGUUUGUUUUAUAUUGUUUUUUAAUUUGAUUGAGAAGUUUCUCUGACCCCAUUACUCUGUAUUUUCAGAAGAGCAGGACAGAAGAGCAACAGGGCAGGGACCAGGAAGAUUUCAAGCUUGGAGGCUCAGGAAGUCAAGUGAUAGAACGAGAAGAAAUAAAGCAGGGUGAGGUGAAACUCCUUUGCUUCCAUGACCUCCGAAGGGAAGUGAUGAUGUAUCUGAAGGACACUGCACACGACGAUGUAACAGAAAGAAGGAAGCAAAGGUUGCACUAAUUGCAGAGUUUGCCAAGAGUGGACUAGCUGCCAAGGCUACUUCAACCUUCCCAUGAUCUGGGAGACAGCACAGUGUCCUGCUGUGCUGGGCGUCUUCCAGUGGCAUUGACCCAAUAGAGGGGUUGGGGCGAAGACUUCUUGGUAUUAAGAAAGAGAAACUUCCCUCCAAAGUCAAGCUACUGAACCACCUACAUGUGAGAUACAGGAGGACUGACCAAGACCCCUUGAAUCCCAGCAAGAAUGCUGAGAGCAGACUUAAGGGCUUCCAGUUCCUACUCUGCCAGCCUCAUCUGGGGGAGCCGUUCCUAAGGCUCCUGAUGAAUCCAGACACCCACCUCAGCCUCACUCUAGGAAUCCAUCCUUCCCCAAACUGCCUGCAUUUGACCACUGGAGGGCAGUGCUGGACCAGCCAAAUCUCUUUAGGGGCUCUGCUCCACCGUUGUCCCCACCUUGCCCUGGCAUAAGCAGCAUGCAGCCUCUGGUUGGGAGCCAAAACCGAGGACCACGGGAGCACCCUGAGAGCAGCAGCACGGCCAGCACUGUUACAAUGGCUCCCUGCGCCUGGCGUCGUAGGAAUAAAAGGCAGUUCAUUGGAAAGAGGAUUUGGCUCCAUAGGUGACACAGUCCCCUGGGAAAGAGACUGAAAGGAAAACUUGCCUCAUCAUGUCAUUAAGCAGGAACAAUCUGUGCCUCUGACCAGGGGUUGUAGACUCCUACCUUUUUCUACCCUCUCGGAUGUAAGCUCCUGGCAGCACAUACAGUGCUUGGCAAUAAACGUCUGUUGAACGAGUGAA